rnacentral:rRNA from 1 species
AUGGCUGCCGACGGAGUCGCUAACGUAGACGGGGCCGCCGGAGACGGCGCGGGAGGCGGCGUGGAAGGCGGCGCAGGGGUGCGUGGACUGGAACAUGUCCCAGUCCGGGUGGAUGAAGCUGCCCAUCCAGAGGGAGUUGUAAGCGCAGUGCACCAUGUGGCAGCCCUGCAGCCAGAAGGUGCCGUUGGGGUCGCCGGAGGGGUCGGUGCACCAGAAGUCGUCGCCGACGCGGCCCAGCGCCACCGCCUCCGUGCCAAGCAGCAUGAAGUCGUUGCAGUGCUCCAUGCUGGCGAUCACGCCGUUGCCGCCAAAGUGCCGGCGCACGGACUCCGUCAGCCCCUGGAAGUAGGCCUUGGCCAGCUCCACCCGCCCGCCGUACUCCUCGCACAGCAUUUCCAGCAGCUGCGCACGCACGGUCAGAAAAGUCAGCACAGUCAAAUAUAA